rnacentral:rRNA from 1 species
CUACGGGGUGCAGCAGGCGCGAAACCUUUACAAUGCACGCAAGUGUGAUAAGGGAACCCCAAGUGCUCAUGCUAUGCAUGGGCUUUUGCCAAGUGUAAAUAACUUGGCGAAUAAGUGGUGGGUAAGACUGGUGCCAGCAGCCGCGGUAACACCAGCGCCACAAGUGGGAGUCAUGUUUAUUGGGUCUAAAGCGUCCGUAGCUGGUUUGGUAAAUUUCUUGUGAAAUCAUCGGACUUAAUCUGAUGGCGUGCAGGAAAGACUGCCAGACUUGGAACCGGGAGGGGUUAGAGGUAUUCUAGGGGGAGCGGUAAAAUGCGAUAAUCCCUAGAGGACCACCUGUGGCGAAGGCGUCUAACCAGAACGGAUUCGACAGUGAGGGACGAAAGCUAGGGGAGCGAUCCGGAUUAGAUACCCGGGUAGUC